rnacentral:rRNA from 1 species
CCUACGGGAGGCAGCAGUGGGGAAUAUUGGGCAAUGGGCGCAAGCCUGACCCAGCAACGCCGCGUGAAGGAAGAAGGCUUUCGGGUUGUAAACUUCUUUUAAGGGGGAAGAGCAGAAGACGGUACCCCUUGAAUAAGCCACGGCUAACUACGUGCCAGCAGCCGCGGUAAUACGUAGGUGGCAAGCGUUGUCCGGAUUUACUGGGUGUAAAGGGCGUGCAGCCGGAGAGACAAGUCAGAUGUGAAAUCCACGGGCUCAACCCGUGAACUGCAUUUGAAACUGUUUCCCUUGAGUGUCGGAGAGGUAAUCGGAAUUCCUUGUGUAGCGGUGAAAUGCGUAGAUAUAGGGAAGAACACCAGUGGCGAAGGCGGAUUACUGGACGAUAACUGACGGUGAGGCGCGAAAGCGUGGGGAGCAAACAGGAUUAGAUACCCCUGUAGUC